rnacentral:rRNA from 1 species
AUUGAACGCUGGCGGUAGGCCUAACACAUGCAAGUCGAACGAGUGGCGGACGGGUGAGUAAUGUCUGGGAAACUGCCCGAUGGAGGGGGAUAACUACUGGAAACGGUAGCUAAUACCGCAUACCAUCGGAUGUGCCCAGAUGGGAUUAGCUAGUAGGUGGGGUAACGGCUCACCUAGGCGACAAUCCCUAGCUGGUCUGAGAGGAUGACCAGCCACACUGGAACUGAGACACGGUCCAGACUCCUGCGGGUGGCAGCAGUUGGGAAUAUUGCACAAUGGGCGCAAGCCUGAUGCAGCCAUGCCGCGUGUAUGAAGAGGGCCUUCGGGUUGUAAAGUACUUUCAGCGGGGAGGCGUUACCCGCAGAAGAAGCACCGGCUAACGCCGUGCCAGCCGCCGCGGUAAUUC